rnacentral:tRNA from 1 species
AUUCAUAUAAUUAAAUUUAUAAUAUCACAUUGAAGCUGUGAAAGUGAUCUUAAAGAUCUAUGAAUA